ACGGCUCAGUAACACGUGGCUAAUCUACCCUUAGGUCAAGGAUACCCUCGGGAAACUGAGGUUAAUACUUGAUAAGAGAUUUACCCUGGAAAGAUUUAUCUCUAAAAUUCGAGCCUAAGGAUGAGGCUGCGGCGGAUUAGGUUGUUGGCGGGGUAAUAGCCCACCAAGCCGACGAUCCGUAAGGGCUCUUAGCGGAGAGGCCCUGAGAAGGAAUCUGAGACACUAUUCCUAGCCUUACGGGGUGCAGCAGUCGAGGAAAUUCUACAAUGCUCGAGAGAGUGAUAGAAUGAGUCAGAGUGUUUUCUUUCAGAAAACUUUUAUUUGUUGUAAAAAGACAGAUGAAUAAGGACUGGGUAAGACCGGUGCCAGCCGCCGCGGUAAUACCGGCGGUCCAAGUCGCAUCCACAUUUAUUGGGUCUAAAACAUCCGUAGCUUGUUUUGUAAGUCUCUUGUGAAAUUUUAUAUCUCAAAUAUAGAGCGCGCAAGAGAUACUACAUUGCUAGAGACCGGAAGACGUAAAGAGUAUGAUUGAGGUAGCGGUAAAAUGUUUUAAUCUUAAUCAGACUAACAAUAGCGAAGGCACUUUACGAGUACGGUUCUGACAGUGAGGGAUGAAGGCUAGGGUCGCGAAAGGGAUUAGAUACCCCUGUAGUCCUAGCAGUAAACGCUGCUCACUAAACAUCAGUGCCUCCUCGAGAGGCAUUGGUGCUGUAGAGAAGUCGGAGAGUGAGCUACCUGGGAAGUAUAGUCGCAAGGCCGAAACUUAAAGGAAUUGGCGGGGGAGCAC
rnacentral:rRNA from 1 species